rnacentral:rRNA from 1 species
CGGACGAACGCUGGCGGGCGUGCUUAACACAUGCAAGUCGAACGGUGACGAGGAGCUUGCUCCUCUGAUCAGUGGCGAACGGGUGAGUAACACGUGAGCAACCUGCCCCAGACUCUGGGAUAACAGUUGGAAACAGCUGCUAAUACCGGAUACGAGACGGAGAGGCAUCUCUACCGUCUGGAAAGUUUUUCGGUCUGGGAUGGACUCGCGGCCUAUCAGCUAGUUGGUGAGGUAAUGGCUCACCAAGGCGACGACGGGUAGCCGGCCUGAGAGGGCGACCGGCCACACUGGGACUGAGACACGGCCCAGACUCCUACGGGAGGCAGCAGUGGGGAAUAUUGCACAAUGGGCGAAAGCCUGAUGCAGCGACGCCGCGUGAGGGAUGACGGCCUUCGGGUUGUAAACCUCUUUCAGCAGGGAAGAAGCGAAAGUGACGGUACCUGCAGAAGAAGCACCGGCUAACUACGUG